rnacentral:rRNA from 1 species
AACGAACGCUGGCGGCGCGCUUAACACAUGCAAGUCGAACGAGAAGGCGUAGCAAUACGCUCGUACAGUGGCGAACGGGUGAGUAAUACGUGGGCGAACCUACCCUCGAGUGGGGAAUAACCCGCCGAAAGGCGGGCUAAUGCCGCGUACGCUUCCAUCUUUAUGGAGGUGGAAGGAAAGCCGUGCCGUGGGCACGGCGCUCAAGGAUGGGCUCACGUCCUAUCAGCUUGUUGGUAGGGAACGGCCUACCAAGGCUCCGACGGGUAGCUGGUCUGAGAGGACGAUCAGCCACACUGGCACUGCGACACGGGCCAGACUCCUACGGGAGGCAGCAGUGAGGAAUAUUGCGCAAUGGGCGAAAGCCUGACGCAGCGACGCCGCGU